rnacentral:lncRNA from 1 species
CCGCUGCUUUGGGCUGUAUUGAGGACAGGCCACAAGGAAACUGAGCAGGUGUUCCAUUCUAGCCUAGCUGUAGCAAGGUGUGAGGCAGAGCCAAGAACUUGCUCUGUUUCCGAGCCUCAGUUUCCUUGCCACCGAAGUGCGGACUUGGCUCUCAUUGUGAGCCGAAUCCCUCUGCUUCCUGAUCUCUGAACUGGUGCAAGGGGCUCUACCAAUAAAGACAUGUGUAGGGGUCCCCUUUUGCCCCCACCUAGCUCAAUUAGUAGAGCAUGAAACUGAAUGGAUGGGUCUUUGGCUGGAGCUCCAGGUGCAGAUUUACGUUCAUUUUCUUUUGUUCCGCCACACAAUUCGACCGGUUCCGCAACUGUCCUCGGGGCGCGAGGAAGCCAAGUGGGCUUCACAGGAAAGACCUCCUUGGUUUCAGGGACAUUGUAGCUGUCAGCUUGAAAUCUUCAGAAAGAAGAUUUUGUGGUAGAUGAGAAGACUGGAAAUUUCUGGAUCUAAAGCUAACAUGAAGUCCACCUCAUCUGGCGCCCUCGUCUCCCGAUCCAACUCACGGCGGACAAACCAGAUCUGGUUCCUAGUGCUCAGCGGGGUUUCAGCAGAAUGGGGAAGAAAGGGAGGAAAAACGGAGCAACACCAAGAACGAACGAAAUCUACGUGGACCCUUAGGUCUACAAAACGGAAGCAGCCCUGCAUUAAGUUCAAAGAAGGAGCCCGGCGCGCUUCAGCUCCUGUGGCUUGCGGUGAUCGUAUCUCGGUUAGUACUCUACGCUGUGGCCGCAGCAGCCGUGGCUGGAAUCCCAGUCAUGGCAACGUCCAUUCUAGCCUAGGCUCUUCUUUCCCUUUCGCCUCCAAUCUCAGCCUAGGCUACGUCGCUGACCUGAGGCUAGAGAGGUCACAACUUUCCUGUGACUUAGGAACUCUCUGUAGUGGUGAGAAUAGAAGGAACCUCUACCCUGCACGCCUAGGGGUCCGGUUAUCUUGA